CAGGGGAGUCGCAAGACCUUGCGCUGAUUGAGCGGCCGAUAUCAGAUUAGCUAGUUGGUGAGGUAAAGGCUCACCAAGGCGACGAUCUGUAGCGGGUCUGAGAGGAUGAUCAGCCACACUGGAACUGAGACACGGUCCAGACUCCUACGGGAGGCAGCAGUGGGGAAUAUUGGACAAUGGGGGCAACCCUGAUCCAGCCAUGCCGCGUGUGUGAAGAAGGCCUUCGGGUUGUAAAGCACUUUUGUUGGGGAAGAAACCGGCCGGGUUAAUACCCUGGUUGAAUGACGGUACCCAAAGAAUAAGCACCGGCUAACUUCGUG
rnacentral:rRNA from 1 species